rnacentral:sRNA from 1 species
UGAGUACAUUAGCUGGUGGACCUCGGGA